GUGUCACUCCAUUUGUUAUUUUAUAAACAUUUUUAUAACAAUAAAUUCUUGUACUUCUAUGUACUUGUAAGAGUUAAUCGUACAUUAUGGAAAUUUUCAAAAAAAGAUACUCUGACCUAAAGUAUUUUAGACCCACACUGCAAAAUGGAAUCCAAGAUUGCGCUUACUGCCUUCGUUGUAUUCACUUUUUUGUUGUGUAAGGGCGCAAAAGCUGAUCAAGAGUGUUAUUAUUGCCAGCGAAAAUGUGCCAAUCCUAUAGAAACAACAACAUGUUCCGAGUCACAGAGAUGUGUGACGAUCACAAUUUUUUUAACAACAGGUGCCCAAUGGCAAAUGAAAGGUUGCAUAGAAGAUUCUGAUGUUCGUGAGUUUAGAGACACAUGUGAAGAGCUACUUAAAGACGGAAGCGGCAAUUGUAGAAUAUGUGAUUCAGAUUUGUGUAAUUCAGGAGAAAUAUACACUUUCUCUUUAA